GCUCUAAAGUGAUAUCUACAGAAAGUUCUCUAUUUCUCAGUACAGAUGAUAAACACCUGCUUAUCAAAAUAGUGCAAAAAGGAACAAAGAAAAGUGCUGUCAACCUGUGUGACCAUUUUCAGAAGCUUCCUCCAGACUGAAAACAAUCUGCAGUACCUGUUUACCCAGCUUCUCUUACAAGCAGAAGUCUUUCUGUACCUACCUGUAUGGACCCGCCCAUGAAAGACACCCUCUGCCACACCUCUUCUCCAGACCUGAUUUGGACAGAAGCGACAGCACCACGAAGCAUCAAUGAGAGCGUUGGAGAAAAUGAACUUCACCGAUUCCUGACUAUCUCAGAUAUCCAUGUGCCAACCAAAUUGUCAGCACACUGCAGAGUUUUAUCAAGGGCCUUAAUCAGAUGUUCAAAGCAGUCUGUCUUCCUUUCUGUGGAGAUUACUAGACGUGUUGCAAACUGCUGAACCGCUGGCAUGGCUGCAGUGCAUAAAGCAGGCCAGGCUCAGCAAUGGUUUGCAGUGUCAGCUCAAACUGUAGAUACAGCGAUGGAAACUCUUGACAAUGAAGAGACAGUUAUGAGAAGUGGGAGACCCGUUCACAAUCAAAGGAGGAGCAGAAGUAACAAAGACUCGUGUUCAGCAAAAAGAUAACCCUGCAAGCAAGCCCAGACCUGUUCAUUAACAGCUAGGAGUGCUUUCAAUCCACACUGAAGAUCACCAGGAGGUCCUCUGGCUAAUAAAGGCAGAACAGUAAAGCAGUACCUCCUGCACUGACUUUUCCAGAGAUUUUAAAAACAAACAAGCACAGACACAGAAGAAGAAAAAAAAAUGCAUCUCUUUGUCUUCCUCAAACUGUCUCCCUCAAACUCAAAGCAGAAGUACAAAUAACAUGAAAUAACAACAGAGUUUAACAUAAACUUUAUAAAUAUAUCUCCAGAAGUAUUCAAUUAUUCAUUCUGGAUUUCAUUUGCCACUUCUAGUUUCUCCUUUUUAAAGCAGAAUUUGAGUUGACUUUUUACAGUGGUAGUGUAAACAGUGCUGAUGAUACUAAAAGACUAUAUUAUUCGUUCAUUAACAAAAGAGACAAAAGGUAAUACAGUGACCUGUAUUGAUGCUACCCCUACAAUAUGUCCCUUCUUCCUAUAAUCUUUUAAAACAAUUGUCUCUUCUUCAUCAAUCUAUUCAGCAGAGUCCAACAACUGACUGUAACUCAGAGAACAGAAGAUUUAGAACAUUAAUCUUGAGACCCUCUGGAUGAUUAUCACUAAAUGAAAAGUUACCCCAUAAUUAAUGUGUUACUGCAUUUUUUAAUCCCAGUUUCUAUUUCAUACAACUCUAAAGAUGACUUUAAGCUACAGUCUGAAUAGAAAAUAAAACUUACAUCUCUGCUGAAGAGCCCAAUCCACAGCGGUUGAUUAUGAAGGGCAGCCUGAACAGCCAGAAAAGCCUGCUGGAACUGAUCUGUGAUGCUAACCAGCUGCAUCUUGCGAUUUAUGCAUGCAGCCAUUGCAUCAUCCCAGGACAAAUUCUUCAGAAUUACUUCGUAUUGAACGUUUUGAUAGCUGAAUGUUUCAUUAAGGACUUGCUCUGUCUGAUUAUCAGCAGCUCCUAUGCCUAAAUAAGAAAUACAGUUAUUAGAUGGUUAAACAAUGGAAUAUAUUCUAAAUUCCCAAUUUCUCUGUAAUAAACAGAAAAAAAACAACACUGUUUAUAUUCCCCUGGAAAAAAUAUCAAAAAUACUUUCUUACGAAGUAGAUUAUGCUAAUGAUUUUAGUUAGGAACAAAUAUCUUUUACACUUUAGACAGAGAAUAUAUAACAGCAAAAAAAGCAGGAAGGACUAUUUUCAGCCACUCUAUUUUUAUCUCUCUCUUAACUUGGCUUCACACAUUUUUUGUGCCAGCUAUUUUUAUUUAACUGCUAAAUAGUGGUAAAAAUUUCAUUUAUUGAAGAAAAAACAUACUCCACAGCUUCAAUCAGAUACAGCAGUGGGAGAAAAUGACUGCUCUCUGCUGCAAGAUAGCAACUGCUAUACUUGAUUCAUUUAUCUCUGUGGAGCCUGUGAAUUUAUGCUUAUGCAAAUCCAAUGGGCCAUAAAACUUGUCUAUACAGAUCUCACAGUGUACAGCACAGUCCCAGAGUUUCUUACUGCCAUCCACACGCAUACUGGGAAUUGAUUUUGUUUCCAUAUGCACUUAAUUAAUUAUAGAAAAUCCACUUUGAAUAGGGAAGGGUGUAAUUUACCGUUUGUGUUCUUAGCACUGAGCCUCGCCAGUUAUCAGCAUCAUUCUGAAGGCAGACAGCUCAGUGAUGCGUUGCAAUUGUAGUUAAUAAAAUAUGCAAACAUUCCCUUGGGUGGUAAAUUAAAGCAUGCAAAGCUAGUAACUCCCCCAAAUUUAUACAUAAUAAAUAAAUACAUUUUUCCCCAAAAAAGGCAGAAGAAACUUGACAUGGAAGCAUAAAAAGGCUUGCUGAGAGAGGAAAAAACACUUCAAAUAAUAAUGUAAAAAUGGCUAAUUGGUAGGCUGACAGAGCCAUUUUUCAAAACACAAGAACAGAGAAAAAUAAAUAUACAUCUGGUAUUUAUGCACUAUUUCCAGCUUUCAGUAGACCAUAAAAGCGAGAAGGCUGAAAUGGACUAUUAGAAUGAAGUUGCUUGUGUCUGCUGCUAAAUGCUUUCACUUGAUAUACAGCCAGCAAAAAAAGAACUAUCGGACCAGAAGAGUAACCACAUAUCAAAGGGUACCAAACCGAAAACAAGUUAGUAAGGGGCAGAACAGUAAAAGUUCGUUUCUGAGAGAGAAAAGACGUAAUUGCUGAUGAUGAAUGUCUCAAGAAGUUGUGCAAAUAACAAAUCAUACCAAGACUUCUUAGAAAUCUGAGUUGUCUUUUUCUCUAGGAUAAAGCUCAAGGCAACUUGGACAGGUCUCAGCUAUCCCUGCAACCUUCUGAGGUCCCUUUCCACACAAGUCACCUUAAGACCCAUAUCCCCAGUGACCGGGAUACAUACUCUGACAGUCCCAAACCCUUUCUCAUUACAUCUUCUACAGUUCUGGCUAGGAGGAAAUGCUUACUAUUUUAGUUAACCCAGACUGAUAAUACACCGAUCUCUGCAGAUCAACUUUCUAUUAAUAAAAAUCUAAUUUUCA